GAAAAAGCAACCUUGUUCCUCCCUCUCCCACACUGCCUUCAUCCCCCCACCCUCUGCUGCUCCCAGAACCAGGACUCUUGUAUCUAGGCAGGAGCUGGUGACUCCGGCCCCACACUUCUCAAGGCCUUAUGCCAGCUGUAGCUCUUACCUCCCUGACACUAUAGAGCAGGCACCUGUACCCACAGAGGAUAAGGCACCUCAGCAGGUUAAGGUGCCUUGAAGACUCUUCUGAAGGCCUCUCUUGAAUGCCAGACUCUCGAAGCCAUCGGCCCACAGACACCUUUCCCCACCUGCGCUGGAGGUUUCCGAGUUGGCCAGUCCGAAGCUGAGCUCACUGCCUUCUCCUGCCAUGCAGCACCCUCCCCCUCCCCUGCCCCGCCUCCUCCACCCCCUCUGCCCAUGAAUGGCUCUCCUAUCCUCCUCCUGGGUGCUGGGGCCAAAAUGUCCCAGUCAUCAUGGAUUCCUGCCCUUCAGUGCUCCUUCAUCCAAUCGGGCACCAGAAAACGCUGACUUCAGUGCCAAGUGUUUCUUGGCCCUGGAUCCUCUACCCCUGUUACCAGUGUCUCAGAAACUUACUAGCUCUUGCCUGGAUGAUAGUAACGAUAUUUAAAACAAUCACAUGCCCAUUACACCUGUGAUAUGAUCAGAGCACACCAUGCCAUACAGAAUCCUGACACUGGCUCUAUCACCCAGGAAUGAGGAAUCAGAGAAGACAGAAUCCCGUUCACCAUCCAGCCUGAGUAACGCAGGCUGCUGGAGGCAGUGAGGCAAACAGCUGACUCCAGACACCGGGCUUUUACACGCCCAUACUACAGAGACAUUCUGACGGCUCAUAGACACCUGCCUCAUGCUUUUCUAGUGCCUUCUCCACAGCCAGGAAGUUCUGCCAUCACAGUGAUGCCUGGACCUGGUCCCUGCUCUGUGGAACCCUGCAGGAGUUCUCCAGUGCCUUCCAUGUCAAGUUCGGCCUUUCCCGAUGGAGUGCCUUUGCUGUCCUGCAGACUCACCUCCCUUCUUGCCAUCCACUCCUCCCUCAUCAGCCCCUCUACCCACAUAUCCAGCCUCCGUUCUGCACUCCCCCUGGACCUCCCUGCCUGCGGUCCAGACCCAGCUGAAGGGUUCCUCCUCUGGGAGCUCACAGUACUUUGCCAUUCUCUACAUCUUGGAACUUCUCAACUGCAAUGGCUUUAACCUGUUACCUAGAACUCCCUUAUUAAAAAACCCCCAAGUUACAUGUAAAUGACAUUUGCAGGUUGCCUUUCAGAGUCAAUUAGGAAAAGAUAAGGUCAUGGAUUAGGCCCUCUCCAAUGCCUCUGACAUGAGAG
rnacentral:lncRNA from 1 species